rnacentral:misc_RNA from 1 species
CCUCCUCCGUCCAUACGCAAAGUUGGUGGCAACCUCCGCGGUCCUCUGAAGAUCUCUAGGUUCUCCCUCAGCUCUGUACACUACCUCUUCGCUUGUUUUUUCCCUACUUACCCCCACACCUACACGCCGGAACAGCAUGUCCGCCGGUGGCCGUGAGACCGCGCCGACGAACCUGAUUCGUCGCCGCAACAAGGACGAGACAAACGGGGAUGUCAGCGCCGCCGCCGACCGCUUCCGCGACCGCUUCGAGAAGGCAACCCUCGAGGAGCGCAAGGCCGCCACCACGACGAUGGUCAACGAGUACUACGACCUGGUGACGGACUUCUACGAGUACGGCUGGGGCCAGAACUUCCAUUUCGCGCCGCGCUACGCCGGCGAGACCUUCUUCGAGUCCCUCGCGCGCCACGAGUACUUCCUGGCCGCUCGCGGCGGCUUCAUGGAGGGCGACCACAUCGUCGACGUGGGCUGCGGCGUCGGCGGUCCGGCGCGCAACAUGGUUCGCCUCACGCGCUGCAACGUCAUCGGCGUCAACAACAACGAUUACCAGAUCAGCCGCGCUCGCCGUCAUGACGCGCUCGCCGGUAUGAGCUCCAAGAUCGACUACGUCAAGACCGACUUCUGCAACAUGAGCUUAGCCGACAACACCUUCGACGGCGCCUACGCCAUCGAGGCCACCUGCCACGCAAAGGACAAGGUCAAGUGCUAUAGCGAGGUCUUCCGUGUCAUCAAGCCCGGCACCUGCUUUGUCCUGUACGAGUGGUGCAUGACCGACAAGUACAACCCCAAUGACGAGUACCACCGCACAAUCAAGCACCGCAUCGAGCUGGGCGACGGCCUGCCGGAGAUGGAGACGUGCAAACAGGUGAUCGAGUACAUGAAGCAGGCCGGCUUCGUGGUGGAGGAGGCCAUAGACGUCAUCAGUCAGUUCGAGUCCAGCCCCAUCAAGAGUAUCCCGUGGUACCAGCCGCUGGUCGGCGACUAUUCGUCCCUGCAGGGCCUGCGCUCUACCCCGAUUGGCCGCAUCCUCACGAACGUCAUGUGUCGCGUGCUGGAGUUCGUGCGCCUAGCUCCGAAGGGCACGUACAAGGCGACGGAGGUUUUGGAGGAGGCUGCGGAAAGCCUGGUGGUGGGCGGUCAGCUCGGCAUCUUCACGCCGUCCUUCUACAUCCGCGCUCGCAAGCCGUCCAAGCAGGCUUAGGUGUCGAGGUCGCAGAAGGACGACGAACGCGCUGGCUGCUGCCUUUACCUCCGCCAUGCCUGCCCGCCAGAUGUGUCGUCUUCCACUGGCUGCGUUUCCUUGGCCAUGUAUGCACAGGGCGCAGGUACGCACGCUUCUGCUGAAGUGUUUUGUUUUUCCGUGGUAUGUUGCCCACGCAGCUGAUGAUGCCAGCCACCCGACCGUGGUAUCGGGGUAGAGUGCCCACACUGUAGGACCGCCACGAGCCUGCACCGCCUGCCCUCGGGUACGGCUGCGGACUCCUGGUGCCGGCAGACAAGUCUGGGCUGGCGCUGUGCCAAAGAGACUUGCGGCCAUGAUGAGGAUUGGACCAGCUCACUCCGAGCUGUGCCGACGCUCCGGCAAAUAUGCGCAUCCGUCUGCUGCUUUUUUUUCUCCGUGUGCUUCGUUGCGGUGAUGUCGGGCUUAAUCCUGUGCCUAGCCUGCGCUGCAUGCACUGGAACUGCAGGGGACGGAACGACUCCAAGCAGUGUUGGUUGGCCCGGUUCGUGGAGGUCGCCGCAGUGCAAAAGAGGUAGGUGAGCUGCAUCUGUGUAUGCGUAUAACUGUUGAGCUGCUCGUGGUUCAGCGUGCCGUGGAGAAAAAAAAAACAAAGAUAUAUUGCACUUCGGUACAUGAGUCAUGCGACUGCGCCCUCACUGAGUAUUCCUGUCUCUCUCUCUCUCUGUUUUUUGCUCGUCGAGUUCCGAGGUGUUCCCCCUUCCCUAGCCCCUAGUCGUUGUGCCUGCUGUUGUUCGUUGUACUCUCGCGCAUUUUGCGGACGUUCUGUGUGUGUGUUUGCCUGAAGAGAGAAAAUGGAACAACGCUAUCCAUAUGUUGGUGAAGGGGAAGAAUGAGCUGGGUCGGCGGAGUGGUAAUGCUGAGGGGAGCCCACCACUGCUCGAUGCCACAAGUGGUAAACGCUUCGAGCACCUUUGGAGCCACUCUGUUUGCCGGACAGGUUUGCCAUUAGAGUUGCAUCUUCCCUCCCUUUCCUCCCUCCUCCUCGAUAACAGCGCUCUCUCUCUAUUUCUGUCUCUCUGCAUAGCACCCUUUCUCUUAUACCUCCCUCUCGCAGAGAGCAUAAAAAGAGGGCGACAGCGAUGCAUUCUCUGGACCGUGGAGGAGAGGCUUGGAACCGAAGUAGAGAUAAAGGCAUGGGUGAGAGAGAGUGGUGCGAGACAUGUGUGGCUUCGUAGUCAGUUGAUGCGACAGAGCACGGCCGGCUCACGUGUGUCUGUCUCUCUCCUCUCCCUUUUGUUUGCCCUCACUGCCGCCUCGCUCUCUCCCCCUUCGACCCAUUCUUCCCUUCCUCCGUUUGAUUUGUUUUGUGUCUUUCAUGUGACUGACCCUCUCUCUCUCUUCCUCUCUUUCCUUUUUUUUUCGAGAGAAGGAGGGAGGGUGGAAGGGAGAGAAGUGUGGGGAGAAGGGCAUGCCCCCUCCUCCUCUACCACCUCACCUCUCUCCCUUCCAUACAUCGCUUUUCGGAUAUGUUUGACUUCUUGUAUGUUCUCUUUCUCUCUUUCCGAUAAGCGAAAGGGAAUGCCAAAAAAAAAACACGCCUGUUGACACAUCUCUCUGUUGUUCAUGCGGUUGCGCUCGUCACGGUUACCACGUAUAUAAAGUCGCGCGUCCAUGCCCUCGCAGCCUCUGCGAGCACCUGCCCCUGUGUGUGUGUGUGUGUGUGUGUGUGUUUCUCUCUGUAUAUGUUGUUUUGUCGUCUGCCAUCUCGUCCACAUCAAAGGAGAUCGCAGACAAGGGAAAAACUUGGCCUGAUGACAAG